ACGCUGUAAACGAUGUCGAUUUGGAGUUUGGGGGCAUGACCCUUGGGCUCCGGAGCUAACGCGUUAAAUCGACCGCCUGGGGAGUACGGCCGCAAGGUUAAAACUCAAAUGAAUUGACGGGGGCCCGCACAAGCGGUGGAGCAUGUGGUUUAAUUCGAUGCAACGCGAAGAACCUUACCUGGUCUUGACAUCCAUAGAAUCUUGUAGAGAUACGAGAGUGCCUUCGGGAGCUAUGAGACAGGUGCUGCAUGGCUGUCGUCAGCUCGUGUUGUGAAAUGUUGGGUUAAGUCCCGCAACGAGCGCAACCCUUAUCCUUUGUUGCCAGCGGGUAAAGCCGGGAACUCAAAGGAGACUGCCGUUGAUAAAGCGGAGGAAGGUGGGGACGACGUCAAGUCAUCAUGGCCCUUACGACCAGGGCUACACACGUGCUACAAUGGCGUAUACAAAGGGAAGCGAAGGUGCGAACUGGAGCGGACCUCCUAAAGUACGUCUAAGUCCGGAUUGGAGUCUGCAACUCGACUCCAUGAAGUCGGAAUCGCUAGUAAUCGUGAAUCAGAAUGUCACGGUGAAUACGUUCCCGGGCCUUGUACACACCGCCCGUCACACCAUGGGAGUGGGUUGCACCAGAAGUAGAUAGCUUAACCGCAAGGGGGGCGUUUACCACGGUGUGAUUCAUGACUGGGGUGAAGUCGUAACAAGGUAACCA
rnacentral:rRNA from 1 species